rnacentral:rRNA from 15 species
CACGGUGGAUGCCUGGGCACCAGGAGCCGAUGAAGGACGUAGGAGGCUGCGAUAAGCCUCGGGGAGCUGUCAACCGAGCGUUGAUCCGAGGAUGUCCGAAUGGGGGAACCCCGCACCAGUCAUGUGGUGUGACCCGCGCUUGAACACAUAGGGCGUGUGGAGGGAACGUGGGGAAGUGAAACAUCUCAGUACCCACAGGAAGAGAAAACAACCGUGAUUCCGUGAGUAGUGGCGAGCGAAAGCGGAUGAGGCUAAACCGAUUGCAUGUGAUAGCCGGCAGGCGUUGUGUGGUCGGGGUCGUGGGACCGUCCGGUUGGGGCUGCCGCCUCGACGGGGAGUGAGAAAGUGCUGUCGUUAGUGGAAGGCCUCUGGAAGGGGUCGCCGUAGAGGGUGAGAGCCCCGUACACGAAAACGCUGCACCUCCCGUGACGUGUUCCCAAGUAGCACCGAGCCCGUGAAAUUCGGUGUGAAUCUGGCGGGACCACCCGCUAAGCCUGAAUACUCCCUGGUGACCGAUAGCGGACAAGUACCGUGAGGGAAAGGUGAAAAGUACCCCGGGAGGGGAGUGAAAUAGUACCUGAAACCGUGUGCCUACAAGCCGUGAGAGCCUUAGGACCUUCGGGUUCGGGGUGAUUGCGUGCCUUUUGAAGAAUGAGCCUGCGAGUUAGUGGUACGUGGCGAGGUUAACCCGUGGGGGGUAGCCGUAGCGAAAGCGAGUCCGAACAGGGCGUUCUGAGUCGCGUGCUCUAGACCCGAAGCCGAGUGAUCUACCCAUGGCCAGGUUGAAGCGCGGGUAAGACCGCGUGGAGGACCGAACCCACUUCAGUUAAAAAUGGAGGGGAUGAGCUGUGGGUAGGGGUGAAAGGCCAAUCAAACUCGGUGAUAGCUGGUUCUCCCCGAAAUGCAUUUAGGUGCAGCGUUGCGUGUUUCUUGCCGGAGGUAGAGCACUGGAUGGCUGAUGGGCCCCACAAGGUUACUGACGUCAACCAAACUCCGAAUGCCGGUAAGUGAGAGCGUGGCAGUGAGACUGCGGGCGAUAAGGUUCGUAGUCGAGAGGGAAACAGCCCAGAUCAUCGGCUAAGGCCCCUAAGCGUGUGCUAAGUGGAAAAGGAUGUGGAGUCGCAGUGACAACCAGGAGGUUGGCUUAGAAGCAGCCAUCCUUG